rnacentral:rRNA from 1 species
UACGUAGGGUGCGAGCGUUAAUCGGAAUUACUGGGCGUAAAGCGUGCGCAGGCGGUUUUGUAAGCCAGAUGUGAAAUCCCCGGGCUUAACCUGGGAAUGGCAUUUGGGACUGCAAGGCUUGAGUGCGGCAGAGGAGACUGGAAUUCCUGGUGUAGCAGUGAAGUGCGUAGAUAUCGAGAGGAACACCAGUGGCGAAGGCGAGUCCCUGGACAUCUCCUGACACUGAGGCACGAAAGCUAGGGGAGCAAACAGG